rnacentral:misc_RNA from 1 species
GAUGAAGAACGUAGCGAAAUGCGAUAAGUAAUGUGAAUUGCAGAAUUCCGUGAAUCAUCGAAUCUUUGAACGCACAUUGCGCCCGCCAGCACUCUGGCGGGCAUGCCUGUCCGAGCGUCGCCCCCACCCGUCAGCACCGCUGUGUUGGGGCCCGGCGGCAACGCCGGCCCCGAAAGUCAGAGGCAGGGGCCCCCCCGCGCGCCGAGCGUAGUGCCGAAACGCCGCUCCGGCCCUGGGGGGGGCUUCCCUCGCCGGCCCGCACGCAGUACCCAGACGACCUCGGAUCAGGUAGGAAUACCCGCUGAACUUAAGCAUAUCAAUAAGCGGAGGA